AAAGUGGCGCACGGGUGAGUAACACGUGACUAACCUACCCUUGAGUGGGGGAUAACCUAGGGAAACCUGGGCUAAUACCGCAUAAUACCUACGGGUCAAAGGAGCAAUUCGCUUAAGGAGGGGGUCGCGGCCGAUUAGUUAGUUGGCGGGGUAAUGGCCCACCAAGACAGUGAUCGGUAUCCGGCCUGAGAGGGCGCACGGACACACUGGAACUGAAACACGGUCCAGACUCCUACGGGAGGCAGCAGUGGGGAAUUUUGCGCAAUGGGGGAAACCCUGACGCAGCAACGCCGCGUGGAGGAUGAAGUCUCUUGGGACGUAAACUCCUUUCGAUCGGGACGAUAAUGACGGUACCGAGAGAAGAAGCCCCGGCUAACUUCGUGCCAGCAGCCGCGGUAAUACGAGGGGGGCGAGCGUUGUUCGGAAUUAUUGGGCGUAAAGGGUGCGUAGGCGGUUCGGUAAGUCUUGUGUGAAAUCUUCGGGCUCAACUCGAAGUCUGCACUAGAAACUGCCGGGCUUGAGUGUGGGAGAGGUGAGUGGAAUUUCCGGUGUAGCGGUGAAAUGCGUAGAUAUCGGAAGGAACACCUGUGGCGAAAGCGGCUCACUGGACCACAACUGACGC
rnacentral:rRNA from 1 species